UGGGGAAUAUUGCACAAUGGGCGAAAGCCUGAUGCAGCAACGCCGCGUGAGUGAAGAAGGCUUUCGGGUCGUAAAACUCUGUCCUAAGGGAAGAAUAAUGACGGUACCUUAGGAGGAAGCCCCGGCUAACUACGUGCCAGCAGCCGCGGUAAUACGUAGGGGGCGAGCGUUAUCCGGAAUCACUGGGCGUAAAGGGUGCGUAGGCGGCCAAAUAAGCCAGAGGUGAAAGGCUACGGCUCAACCGUAGUAAGCCUUUGGAACUGUAUGGCUUGAGUGCAGGAGAGGAGAGUGGAAUUCCUAGUGUAGCGGUGAAAUGCGUAGAUAUUAGGAGGAACACCAGUGGCGAAGGCGACUCUCUGGACUGCAACUGACGCUGAGGCACGAAAGCGUGGGGAGCGAACAGGAUUAGAUACCCCCGUAGUCC
rnacentral:rRNA from 1 species